AGUGAACGCUGGCGGUAGGCCUAACACAUGCAAGUCGAACGGCAGCACAGUAAGAGCUUGCUCUUACGGGUGGCGAGUGGCGGACGGGUGAGGAAUACAUCGGAAUCUACUUUUUCGUGGGGGAUAACGUAGGGAAACUUACGCUAAUACCGCAUACGACCUACGGGUGAAAGCAGGGGAUCUUCGGACCUUGCGCGAUUGAAUGAGCCGAUGUCGGAUUAGCUAGUUGGCGGGGUAAAGGCCCACCAAGGCGACGAUCCGUAGCUGGUCUGAGAGGAUGAUCAGCCACACUGGAACUGAGACACGGUCCAGAGUCCUACGGGAGGCAGCAGUGGGGAAUAUUGGACAAAGGGCGCAAGCCUGAUCCAGCCAUACCGCGUGGGUGAAGAAGGCCUUCGGGUUGUAAAGCCCUUUUGUUGGGAAAGAAAAGCAGCAGGUUAAUACCCCGCUGUUCUGACGGUACCCAAAGAAUAAGCACCGGCUAACUUCGUG
rnacentral:rRNA from 1 species